UACAGAGGGUGCAAACGUUGUUCGGAGUUACUGGGCGUAAAGCGCAUGUAGGCGGCCCGGCAGGUCGGAUGUGAAAGCCCUUGGCUCAACCAAGGAAGUGCAUUCGAAACCGCCGGGCUGGAGUCCCGGAGAGGAAGGUGGAAUUCUCGGUGUAGAGGUGAAAUGCGUAGAGAUCGGGAAGAACAUCGGUGGCGAAGGCGCUCUACUGGACCACAACUGACACUCAGGGACGAAAGCUAGGGGAGCGAAUGGG
rnacentral:rRNA from 1 species